UCGUUUACAUUGAAUAGAUUUUGUGGGAAUCAAAUGUUUUGAAUUAUUCAGAAUGGUUUUAUUCUAG
rnacentral:tRNA from 1 species